rnacentral:tRNA from 1 species
GAGGCCUUAGCUUAAUUAAAGUGUCUGAUUUGCAAUCAGGAGAUGCGAGUUAAUUCCUUGUAGGUCUUA